UAGGUUGUAUAUGAUAUAUAGCUACUGUGCAGGAGUAACUGUGAAUUUAAGUGCAGCUGUACAAAGGUUGAGUGAUAUUCGAUGGAGGAUUAUUGUUACACUCUGUUUACUACACAGAGGUUUGCCUACAUAUGCGGUGAAGAUUAACAACAACAACAACAAAUUUGGCGGUCUGAGCACAGAAUAAUUUUUCUGCCUCUUGAAAGUUGAUGAGUUUUCGAUUUACAAGUGUUUGGAAGGCCAUUAAGUUUGACUAAAUCAGAUUUAACAUUUACUUUCUGGUUACUAUGCUGGUUAUGUUUGGAAGAUAAGAAAGUCACAAAUCAACCUCAAGAUUACUAAAUUGGCCUGUGUUCAAAGCACAUGAAAACAGGCCUGGUGGUUUCUUUGGGCAAGAAAUUUAUUGCUUACAACCAAGCUAAAAGCCAAAGAUAUUGGAGAAUAUGAUGAUAUAAAUGAUGACAUAAAUAAUGCCAUAAAUAGUAGCAACAUAGCUGAUACCAAUGAAGUGUCUACCAACAAACUUGAUGAGGUUAAAACCCAUGAAGCUAUCAAUGAAUAUGACGAUAUUGGAGAAUAUGAUGAUAUAAAUGAUGACAUAAAUAAUGCCAUAAAUAGUAGCAACAUAGCUGAUACCAAUGAAGUGUCUACCAACAAACUUGAUGAGGUUAAAACCCAUGAAGCUAUCAAUGAAUAUGAUGAUAUUGGAGAAUAUGAUGAUAUAAAUGAUGACAUAAAUAAUGCCAUAAAUAGUAGCAACAUAGCUGAUACCAAUGAAGUGUCUACCAACAAACUUGAUGAGGUUAAAACCCAUUGAAGCUAUCAAUGAAUAU